rnacentral:rRNA from 1 species
UGGGGAAUAUUGGACAAUGGAGGAAACUCUGAUCCAGCAAUUCUGUGUGUGUGAAGAAGGUUUUAGGACUGUAAAACACUUUUAGUAGGGAAGAAAAAAAUGACGGUACCUACAGAAGAAGCAACGGCUAAAUACGUGCCAGCAGCCGCGGUAAUACGUAUGUUGCGAGCGUUAUCCGGAAUUAUUGGGCUUAAAGGGCAUCUAGGCGGUAAGACAAGUUGAAGGUGAAAACCUGUGGCGCAACCAUAGGCUUGCCUACAAAACUGUUGAACUAGAGUACUGGAAAGGUGGGUGGAACUACACGAGUAGAGGUGAAAUUCGUAGAUAUGUGUAGGAAUGCCGAUGAUGAAGAUAACUCACUGGACAGAAACUGACGCUGAAGUGCGAAAGCUAGGGGGGCAAACAGG